CGCUCUUCCUGUGAGGAGGAGAUCGCGUUUCCCCGCGGCACCCGCGGACACCAGGCAGCCCGGGCGGGUGCGCGGCCAGGACCCGCUCCCCGCGCCGCCUGCUCCCCGCGUUCCCGGGCGCCGCCCCCGCCCGCGUCUAGGCUCCGAGAGGCGACUUGGAGAGCAAGGCGGCGAGGGCGACUGGCGAGCCGAGCAGGCCGCCCAGCCCGCGGCUCAAGCGUCGGCGCGAGGAGGGGCACCGCGGCCCACCUCCUUCCUGCCUGGCCGCGGGCCGGUCGGGCCGCCGCGCCUGACCCCCAUGGCCGCCGAGGCCUCCGGGCCGCUACGUCGCAGCGCCAGACGCAGGGUCCCCGAGUGAGCGCGGGCGCCGAGGAUCUCAUCUGGCCGCCGCGUUCUGAAAGAGGCCAGGGAUAGAGCGCGCGCGCGAGGAGAACAGAGACGGCGGGGAAAAGGGAGAAGGCGAGACGCGCAGCGCCGGCGCCCGGGAGACCCAGGAGGACCCCGCAGUUUGGUUGUGCCGGGGAUUCCUCCCUCCCCUUUCCUCCACAAUGCUUUGGUGAGUGGUGUUGGCGACAGUGACGCUGGCGGCAGGCUUGGGGCUGAGAUGGCGGGGCUGUUGCCCGCGGCCCGGGAGGUGAGGGAUGCCAAAGGAAGGAGUUCUGUCUCAAGUUCGCCAUUUGCGCCUGGAGCUAGUCCGGACGGGGUGGGCGGUCCGUGCACCCAGUCCUCCUCUGGACAACUGGUGGGAAACUUCCUGGGAGGGCCGCCUCCCGGCGGACUCGGUGCCCCGACGCCUCCAGGCGCAGCCUCGGGCCGCGAGUGGCCCCUCCUUGCCGCCCUCGAGCGCUUAAGGUCGCUCUCUCCCCACCCCCGCCUUCCUCCCUCCGCUGUUGGCUUCCGGAUCUGGACAGAGCAGCUUCAAACACUUCCCCUGGAGACUCCUCCCCACUCCCUGCACGGAGGCCACCCCGGAGACCCCCCGCCCCGGCCUGUGCCCUCAUCUCACGCGGAGCCGAGUGACCAAGCUGACAAUGAAAUCUCGUGUCUCUGCCGGGAGGGGGAGGGGGGGGGUCAUAGCUGAGUCUCUCUUGAGGCUGCUGACCCUGGGCCCCG
rnacentral:lncRNA from 1 species